CCAAACUUGGUCAUUUAGAGGAAGUAAAAGUCGUAACAAGGUCUCCGUUGGUGAACCAGCGGAGGGAUCAUUACCGAGUUGAAAAGCUCGCCAAAACCACUGUGAACAUACCUAUAAUCGUUGCCUCGGCAGGCGGCUCCAGGGCGGGGCCAAGGCCUGAAACAUGGCGCCUGCCGGGGGUUAAAACCUCUAUUUUUUUAAGUUAGCUUCUCUGAGUUUUUUAAACGAAACAGCUAAAACUUUCAACAACGGAUCUCUUGGCUCUGGCAUCGAUGAAGAACGCAGC
rnacentral:misc_RNA from 1 species